CAAAAAGACUCUGUGUCUGAGGCUCCAAGGACCUAGGUUUAAUCCCCAGCACCACCAUAAGCCAGAACUGAACAGUGGUCUGCUCUGUCUCUCUCAUAUUAAAAUUAAAUAAAUAUUUUAAAACAUAAAUAAAAUAAAUCUUUUGAGGCCUGGGAGGCCUAUCAGUAGUUAGAGAGAGGGUGGUUAGAUCUCUUAAGCUUGAGGUCCAGAGUUUGAUCCCCAGCAUCACAUGUGCCAGAGUGAUGAUGAUUCUCGUGGUAAGAAAUAUUUUACGGGGAGUCGGGCGGUAGCACAGCAGGUUAAAUGCAUGUGGCACAAAGCACAAGGACCGGCGUAAGGAUCCCGGUUUGAGCCCCUGGCUCCCCACCUGCAGGGGAGUCGCUUCACAGCAGUGAAGCAGGUCUGCAGAUGUCUAUCUUUCUCUCCCCCCUCUGUCUUUCCCUCCUCUGUCAAUUUCUCUCUGUCCUAUGCACUAACAACAACAACAAUAAUAACAACAAUAGACAACAAGGGCAACAAAAGGAAAAAAAUAGCCUCCAGGAGCAGUGGAUUCGUAGUGCAGGCACUGAGCCCCAGCAAUCACCCUGGAGGGAAAAAAAAGAAAAGAAAAGAAAAGAAAAUAUUGUCAUGGGGUAUGGAAGACAGCAUAGUGGUUUUGCAAAGAGAUUCUCAUGCCUGAGGCUCCAAAGUCCCAGGUUCAAUCCUCAGCACCAUCAUAAACCAGAGCUGAGCAGUGCUCUGGUAAAAAAAAAAAAAAAGGGAGAGAUUAUCAUGGGCUGGUGGCACAUUGGGUCAAGUGCAUAUAUCACCAUGUGCAAGGACUGUGUUUAAACCCCUGCUCCCCACCUGCAGAAGGGAAGCUUCACAAAUGCUGAAGCAGGUCUACAGGUGUCUUUCUUUCCCCCUUUCUACCUCCCCCCUCCCUUCUCAAUUUUUCUCUGUCUACUAAAAAAAGUCACUGAAUUCUGCCAGUGGAUACAUAGUCAUUUUCUGUCUGUGUUCUGGACAAAUCCCAAAGGGGAUGGGUUUGUGUGGAUAAGACUCUCACAGUUCAGAGAAUAUCAGAGCCUGAGAAAAAUGUUAUAGUCUCAAAUCAAGCUGUGAGCUUCCCCCAAAGACAACCCUCUGUCCUGGGCAUGGUUUGAGAAGCUCCUCUUCCACCCCUACCCCCCCAAAUUUCAAGUUUCAGGUCACUCUAAAUCUAGGGUUUUUGGGCAGCAAUGGUGCCUGGCUUGUAGUAUUUUUUUUUUUAAUUUGUUUGAAUGAAUGAGUGGAUAAAUGAAUGACUCCUUAGAGAUUUUGAAAGAUAUAAACUAUUUUUUUUCUGGGCCAGCCAGUGGAUCACUCAGUUGAACACACUUAUUACAGUGCACCUAGUUACAGGAUCCUGGUUAAAGCCCCUGGUCCCCACCUGCAGGGGGAAAUCUUCAUGAGUGGUGAAGCAGUGCUGCAGGUGUCUCUCUGUCCCUCCAUCUCUGCCUCCCCUUCCUCUCAAUUUCGCCUCUGUCUCUAUCCAAAAACAGAAAAAGAUGAAGAAAAGAAAGAAAGAAAGGAAGGAAGGAAGAAAAAAAAAUAUGAUUUUGCCAAGCAGAUCUAGAAGGGACAGCAUAUGCCGGGGCAUGGCCAGGGGGGUUCCUCAUGAUUCAGUGUUUAGUUUGACUGUUUUGACCAGGAUGUAGCUUAGUAGUAGUGCCAGGGAUCAAACCUGGGACCCCUGGCAUGCAGGUUCCUCAAGCUACCAUUCUACUCUAGCUCAGUGCAGUUUCUUUUUUUGGACAAGUAUGGAGUGUAUAUUUUUCUUUUUUUCUUUUUUAUUGUUGUAGUUAUUAAUGCCAUUGUUAUUGGAUAGGACAGCAAAACGGAGAGAGGAGGGGAAGACAGAGAGGGGGAGAGAAAGAUAGACACCUACAGAUCUGCUUUGCUGCUGUGAAGCGACUCCCCUGCAGGUGGGCAUCUGGGGGUUCCAACUGGGAUCCUUUCGUUGGUCCUUGGGCUUUGUGCCACGUGUGCUUAACCAGCUGCACUACCACCCGACUCCCAAGAGUAUAUUUUUCAAUAAAAGCAAAGAAAGCAGUGAGUAUUGUGAGACCCAAAGGGAAAAAGAGAGAAACAGGAAGGUGACAGAGAAUACCGCUGUAAGAGAUGAUAAAAAACACUGGGGCGAGAACAAAGUGAUUUUGCAGAGGACUCUCAUGCCUGAGGCUCUGAGGUCCCAGGUUCAAUCCCAAACACCACCAAAAGCCAAAGCUGAACAGUGUGCUGGUAAAAGAAAAGAGUUCAUCAUGGAAGCAAUUACAGAAGCCAGCACCCCAUAAUGACCCAGGGUCCAUACUCCCAGAGGCAUAAAGAAUAGGGAAACUAUCAGGGGAGGGGACUGGAUACGGAGUUCUGGUGGUGGGAAUUGUGUGGAAUUGUACCCCUCUUAUCCUAUGGUCUUGUCAAUAAUUUCAUUUUAUAAAUAAAUAAAUAAAAUAAAAAGAUCUAUCACUGUCCAGUGAUGGGGAAGUGGUAUAGUGGGUAAGGCA